rnacentral:rRNA from 1 species
GCAUAUCAAUAAGCGGAGGAAAAGAAACUAACAAGGAUUCCCCUAGUAACGGCGAGUGAAGCGGGAAGAGCUCAAGCUUAAAAUCUCUGUGCAAGUUUUGCAUGGCGAAUUGUAGUCUAUGGAUGCGUUAUCAGUGCAGCUAUUUGGGGUAAGUUCCUUGGAAGAGGACAGCAUCGAGGGUGAUACUCCCGUUUGUACCUGAGUAGCUUGUGCGUACGAUACGUUUUCUUUGAGUCGCGUUGUUUGGGAAUGCAGCGCAAAGUAGGUGGUAAAUUCCAUCUAAAGCUAAAUAUUGGUGCGAGACCGAUAGCGAACAAGUACCGUGAGGGAAAGAUGAAAAGAACUUUGAAAAGAGAGUUAAAGAGUACCUGAAACUGCUGAAAGGGAACCGAAUCGUUUUCCAGUGUCUAUAAUCCGCGACAUAUUUCAUUGGCGAGUGUGUGCGUGCGAUGUUUUGGAAGUAGCCUCGCGUUGCUCCGGAUGUUGUAUUUUGCAUGUAUUUGCUGGUGCCCUGUGUUGUGGUGGGACGUCAGAGUGAGUUCGUAUGCUGCGGGAAAUGGCUGCCAAGGAGGUAGGUCAGGAUUUCGGUCUUGGCUGUUAUAUCUUGGUGGACGAGUAGUCGUGGUUGGGACUGAGGUGCCUUACAACGUGCUUUAAAGUGGUUGGUAGUCUCUUUUGAUGCUCUGUUAGGACAGCUUGCUGUGUUGGUAGUAGUGUUGAAGGAUGGAUUGCUGGUUGAACUUUUGCCGUUCGGGACUUUGACGAAAUGGAGCGAUCCGACCCGUCUUGAAACACGGACC